rnacentral:piRNA from 1 species
UAGGAUCAGACAAUUUGGAAAAACACACUAGC